GCAAUGGUGGCUGAAUGGUUAAGGCUUUGGGUUGUUGAUCAGAACGUCGGGGGUUUGAGCCCCAGCGCUGCU